GCUGAGAUGGUCGAGUGGUCUAAGACGGAGGACUUAAGGUAUUUUCUUUGGAUCACUUGCGUGUUCCAUUGAAUAUCGCUUUCAGGCAACCCUCUCCGGAAACGGGCAAGGGUUCGAACCCCUUUCUCAGCA
rnacentral:tRNA from 2 species